AUGUCCACCUUGGUCAGGUCGGUGCCGGUCGAGCAGGAUAAACCUCCUGGCCAAGCCAGUGGCGUCAGCAAGGCGGACGACUGCAGUGGUGUGGAGGUGCGAUCUGUCAGGCUAAGGUUCACUGGAAAAUAUAUAUUGGAACUACCAGCUAUGAUGCUAGACGAUGCUAAUGGUUUACUCCGUUUGGUGCAAGAUGUGCCAAUCAGGGUGCUUGAUCUACAAGAUUACAGAUACAUUCUGUUCCAUCUUCACAUCGAUUGCCAAGUCCUGAUACAUAUUCUUGUCAUGUCUGGGCCAAACUGA
rnacentral:rRNA from 1 species